AGGGAAGGAAACUCUGAAGGACAAACAAGCUCAGCCCCUGGCCAGUGCCCAGCCCAGUGGAGAGGCACCUUGCUGUCCCCCCUCGCCCCGUCUGAGCACGCCAGCACUCACUGAAUGGCGAGCGUGUCCCAGCUCUGGGUGCGCAGGAGCGCGGAGGGCCACAAGAAGGAGGAAGGAACCGCCUGCCUUCCAGAAGCUUCCCACCUAGGAACUAUCCAGUAACGAAAAGACAGCUGGCCGAGUAGUAAGGGCUGUUACCUGCUGUGGGGGGCAUGGGAGACCAGGAAGGGGUUCUUUGGGGGGGCACUCUGAAUGGUGUGAGGAAGGCUUCCUUAAUAAACUCAGGGCGUGUGGGCCAAGGCACCAGGACAGAGGGGCACAGCCACCAGCAACGAACCUCCUUGGGGGCCAGACGUCAGGGCAGAGCAGGAGGGAGAGGAAAACAGUAACAGAUGAGUAAACAGAUGUUUAUUUAGCACCUACUGCAGGCCAGGUUUGUGUGCAUUAUUUCACUCAAACUUUCCAACAAUCUUACAGAGUGAGAGUCCUAUGGUCCAGAUCCAGGGGCCCAGACAGGGUUAGAAACGCGAGUGAGAUCACUUAGCCAGUGAACGGUGGGGCAAACGUUCAAAUCCAGGUCUGCCUGGCGUCAGAAUCCCUGCUUUUUCUGCUUUGCCACCUCUCCGCACCGCCCAGCUACAGCCCGGCCGGGCUCCACAGGCCAAGGGGGUAGCAGAGGACACGCGCAGCCGCCUCCCCAGGUGUUCCCACUGACCGCUCCCUCUGGGCCGGCCCGCUUCCGGCCGGGACCAGGAGGCAGACGAGAUUGGGCCCCCGCCCUCGGAGAAGGCGUACUUCGUGGGAAAGCAGACGCAUCAGCAAGCCCUCCCGUUGUAAGGUCAGGACGACUGCAGUCUGGCAGAACGCUGUGAAAGUGCCCACUCGAGGGGGGGUGUCCUCUGAGCUGUUUCGGAAGAGGAGUCGAGCUGAGGAAUGAGGAGGUGGGGAAGGACACUCUGGGCGGCGGAAAGAACGGUCUGGAAACAAAGCGGCGGCCGCUGACCCCACCGUGACGACGACCCCGCUAAGUCGUCUUGGGUUCGCCCAAGCAUCUGCGUCGCCAGGGGAACGGAGCCACAGCAUCUGCGUCGCCAGGGGAACGGAGACCGGGGAGACGCCAGCAGCUGGACUGCGGAGCUAGACACGCUCCCACAAACGGCUCCGCCACUGGGAGAUGGAGUUCUGACCGACACAGGAACACAAAAGCAAGUGCCAGCAGCCACCAUCACCAGCCGCCCAGACACCAACUCAUGCUUCCGAAAUCUCCCAAUGUCGACUCCACACAGAGAGCCGUCAAGCUGCCCACGCAGGCCAC